rnacentral:rRNA from 1 species
ACGGAAGGCAGCAGUGGGGAAUAUUGCACAAUGGGCGAAAGCCUGAUGCAGCGACGCCGCGUGAGUGAAGAAGUAUCUCGGUAUGUAAAGCUCUAUCAGCAGGGAAGAAAAUGACGGUACCUGACUAAGAAGCCCCGGCUAACUACGUGCCAGCAGCCGCGGUAAUACGUAGGGGGCAAGCGUUAUCCGGAUUUACUGGGUGUAAAGGGAGCGUAGACGGCUUUGCAAGUCUGAAGUGAAAGCUCGGGGCUCAACUCCGGAACUGCUUUGGAAACUGUAGAGCUAGAGUGCAGGAGAGGUAAGUGGAAUUCCUAGUGUAGCGGUGAAAUGCGUAGAUAUUAGGAGGAACACCAGUGGCGAAGGCGGCUUACUGGACUGUAACUGACGUUGAGGCUCGAAAGCGUGGGGAGCAAACAGGAUUAGAUACCCUGGUA